AAUGAUAGUUCACUAUUAGGGAUAGAUGAUGAUUCAGUGUUGUGUGGAUUUAGAAGACUGAAUCUUCCUUGUUUGGUUGCUGAGAAACAUUAUUCGAUUCUUUAUGUUGUUAUUAAACUGAUGAAAUAUCUUGAAUUAUUUCUCAUUACCCCCCUAAUUGUGAAAAUAAAUCAAGGGAAGCUUGCACCCCAUGUAAUUCUAUUGCACUUUCAAUUUUACCGUUGACCUCUUUUAUAUAUAAUUAAGCGUAUCUAUUGUAUAUUCUUACGUUUCUG
rnacentral:misc_RNA from 1 species